GAUAAAGGGGUCAAACACAUAAUUAAAACUAGAAGAAGGCGCCGCAUUCAGCCGCCCCGAAGACUCCUACGAAAGACUCCCUAGUCUUUGUCCUGCUUGUCUUGCGAGGAUAAGCAAACGCUGAAGCUAGCGCUUCACUCGAUCUGUAGUUAAAUACUUCCUCGUUAGUGGAAGUCGGCUACGGCUGCGCUGACCACUCCUCCCUCGACAAAAACGUUGAUUGGCCUCGACAGAAACUCCUCAAAAUGCAAAACACCUAUUGCCUGACACUAUCAGUGAACAAUCACCAUGUGGCGUUUUGAAAAACUGAGUUUAAGGAUUCAAGUCUUAUUUGAUUCAGAAGUGAAGGCAAAACAGAUCAGGUCAAACCUAGCAGAGUACAGUACAGUCUAGAGCACCAACUGGCGCUAAAAAAGUGAAAGAGUUUAAGCAAACUAGGAGCCAAGAUAACCUCAAACAGAGAGAACUGGCAGUAAAACGGCAAGAACUAAAGCAAAUCACCAAUCAAAUUAACUUAAGACACUAGAAUCAACAACAAAUUUAGCAGACUAGCUUGGUUUAAAGAAAAAGAUACUUAGUCCGAUUUCAGGUCGCCUGCAUGUCUGGAAGAGAUGCACGCUUUUAUCUUGCUUUUAUUUUUGCUGACCCUUUCACUCUUUCUCGCCUCACCCAUUUUUAGUUAUCUUUCUGGGCAGAGAAUGUAAUGGUGGUCUGGGGUGCCUCCUCCCUUUUUGUCUUUAUUUCUGCAUAAGAAGGUAUCUCUGCAAUAUACACCGUCAUUAUCGCAUCAAAGACAUUUUGUGCAUGCUUCCAGUUUUUUAAACGGAUUUCUUUUCAGGUAGCUUCAGCCCUUUCAACUUCCUACAAAAGAUGUUACUACUGUGUCCACUUGCCACACACACACACACCACAUACAUCAUCCAACUCUCCUUUCUUUGUGGUUCUUGUUGAAGCAUAUUUACGAUAAUUUAUUUUCUGGACGGUCUAAUUUCUCCAUCUUCUCCACAAUCUUUAGCUGUUCAAGCCCCUCUAGGAUUUCUUUUUAUUUAUGAGCAUGUCAAAGUGAUUGUCUGAAGUGACAUCAUUUGCAGGGUUGACCAUAAACAACCCUAUCCAGCCAAUAGCCAGUCUCUUUUUAUAGAGUCAGGUAACUCACUCUCAAUAGAUUUAUUACCAGUGGAUUAUUUAUGGCUCUGGAGUUUCCCAGCUCUGUGGGAUCUUCUAUGGCCCUCUCCACAGACUGGAUGAGGUCAAUGACUUCCCUUGGCUGGUUCCAUUUGUUCUGCAAUUCUCCGUGCAGUUACAAAUUCAGCUGUUCCAUGUCUAAGCCUGUUGCUAGCUGUUCUCAGAUUAUUUACUCUGCUGUCUAGUUCAUCCUUUGCUAGCUCAGGGAUCCAUCGCUUCAAAGUUGACAUCACUGGUGUGAGCUCCUUUAUCAGCUUCUCUGAGAGGGUCAGAUAUACUUAACACAUAGCAUUCCAAGUUGGUACUUAACAAGUACCAACUUCACAGGCUUUUUCGGCUUUGAAGAUUGACAUUUUGAGUUAAUUAAUUCCAUACCUUGACCACUGUCACACAUACGCCCACAUAAUAGUUUAUUUUUCAUCUUCACUGCAUGUUCACUAACUCUCAUGUCAUUUCAGAUCCUCCCACCUUGUCACCUGAUUUCCUGCACCUGGUUCUCCUCACCCUCACCUGUGGUGCCUCCCCUCAUUUAUCUGCCUGUCUGUUUGCCAUCCUGGUUCUGACCCUGCCUGUCCUCGUCUGCGGAUUACCUGCCUGCCCCUCUGGAAUUGUUUGCCUCUCGACGGAUCUCCCGGUUUUGGACUCAGCCUGAACUUUCAUUAAAACCCCUCUGUCUUGUCCAUCGUGUCAGAGUCGUGCGUUUGGGUUCUCCUGUACUCCGGUACCAGUAACCGUGACAGUACAAUCUGGCCAGACAUGAACCCAGCACGUACCGAGCCCGAAACCCCGACCCCAAGCAACAUGUCGCAACGCCAUGAGCAGCAGCUCCACUUUAUGGCUGAGGCCAUGCAGUCAAUGUCGGCCCGCCAUGAGAGCAGCAUGGAGUCCCUCCGCGACCACCUGCGGAACCUCGCCGCAGUGACGCGUACUCCGGACGUCACUUCCGCUGCUACCCAAGUACCCCCCCCGCUCCGAUGUCCGACGCACGUCUUCCUCCCCCCGAGCGUUGUUCCGGUGCUCCCGGUUCCUGUCGACCGUUCCUGGUACAGUGCUCGCUCGUCUUCGAGCUCCAGCCGUCCGCGUUUCCAACGGAGAGGUCCCGGGUAGCGUACAUUGUUUCCUUGCUCACGGGGAGAGCAAGGGAUUGGGAAACGGCCGAAUGGGCUAAGCAGACUUCUAUAUGCUCCUCCGUCGUGUCGUUUUCCGCGGCGAUGCAGAGGGUUUUUGAUCAUGCCACUCCCGGACGGGAGGCGGCCGGGGACUGUUUAGGCUGCAGCAGGGAAGGCGAUCCGUUUCCGACUAUUCCAUUGACUUUCACACCAUGGCAGCGGAGAGUGACUGGAACCAAGCCUCCCUUCGCGAUGCCUUCUACCACGGAUUAUCCAGCCGCGUAAAGGACGAAUUGGCAGCUCGGGAUCUCCCUGCUGGUUUAGACGAGUUGGUCGCUCUCUCCAUUCGGAUUGACGGCCGUCUGCGGGAGAGGAGAGAGGGUCGCUUACGCAGUUUUAGGAUCACCGCCGCGCAAGUUGCAGGAACCUCGGCGGGCACCAACCGAGGGUGGACCUGAUGAGUCUAUCGCCGGACCCAGGGCCGUUUGAAGGAAUUUGGGGGCCCCAAGCAAAAUGGACAUGGAGGCCCCUCCAAGCCCCCGCCGCGCGCACGCAAAACCUACAGGAACCACAGCACAGCCAUAAAGUUCACCCACACUUUAUAGAAAUAAAGGGUUUACAGUGCAUAAACCUAAUGUGCAUGAAAUUUGAACAUUUAACAAUUUAACAUUUGCACACUACCAUAAAAUCAAAUAUACAUUAAAGUGCACAAUAACUAAAUCCAACAUACUUAAACACACACACAUAUACAUUCACACUAACAUUUUUCAGUUCUCACAAACAUGUGCAAAUUAUCUAAAACUGCCGUUUGCGAGCCUUGUUUUGUGCAAAGGCAAUCACAAUGUCCUCCAUGUCCAAAGUCUGGCGAACAUCGCGCUCCAGUCCUGUGAGCCUUUCUUGGUCCAUGGUGGACCUCCAUGUAAUUUUUUAUCAGCUUUUAUAGCUGAAAAGCUCCUCUCACCAGAGGCCACAGACACAGGGAGAGUCAGGAGUGGACGCAAAGCAAUGCUUAAAUUACUGUACAAAUCCAGUAGCUUCUCACUGUAUAUGUAAUUAACCAUGUCAAAUGGGGAAGUGGCUACGUGGUCUGGAAAAGUGUAGAGCGAUGAAUUGAUCUCAAGUGCCAAUUCAUCAGCAUCAAUGUUAUGGAGAGUUUGUUCCAAUUUUUUGCAUCGUUCAUGAAACUUUCCAUUCUUUAUUGUCUGCUUCAUGUUGUCCUUUGAGAACAGAAAGUCAUAAAGGUCAUAAACACCCUUCAAUCUUGAAAACCUGUCACUUAGGCUUCUGAGGGCUGUGUCAACCAUGGGCAGAAAGAAGUCUCUACUGAAAGUCUCGUCUGGAGUAGACUGAGUGUCCUCUGUACCUUCAUAUAGAGACAGUUUUUUCUUUUUACGCGGCCUUUUUUCAGGAAGGGUCAUUUCCAUAUCCAGAUUUUCUGCAAUGUCUUUUGCAUCAGUUUGACAGGAAGCAAUCCCAUUUUCCCUUCUUCAAGGUAGUCUUUUAUUCCUUCCGUAUCUGAUCUGAGUGUUUCCAUGGAAACAUUUUGACUUUGUAGCAGCUUGCUGACAUGAUUGAUCUGGUACAACACAUUGUACCAGGUCAUUGUGCAAAGCAGAAAAGACCUGGGCCCGUAUCCCUAAAGAAUUUUUGUGCAAAAAGUGGCUCCUAGCGGCCAAAUUCUCAGAGUCAUGACGUUUUCUUAGAAUUUCCCCUAAAAGUGACACGAAAAUCCCAGUUAAUAUUAAAGCUAUUCCUCAAGAUUCCUAGUGCUUAAAAGGGCUCCUAAGGCGAGAUCUGCUAAGAGCAGGGAAGAGGACGUUUAGUGGCUUAAGAGUUCCCCUUAACAGCUGCACAAAAUGACCAACACAGGAGGCAGGAGAGAUGUCCUGCAAACACUGACAGGGUGAUGACAGGGAAUUAUUGAGACGCUACAGAUUGGAUCGUGCAGGAAUCAUGUUUGUGGUGGAUCUCCUUAGAGAUGCAAUUACUUCACCAACUCGACGCCACAACGCUAUUACACCGGAGAAGAAAGUAAUCACAACCCUGAGGUAUUUGGCAACAGGGAAAUUGCAACAAUGCAGCAGGGCCCACAAGACAACAAGAGCGGUGGUGGAGCGUGGCAUAGGCCAGCUUAAGAGGCGCUUUCAUAUUCUCCACGGAGAGGUGCGGCUGAGGCCUGAAAAAGUCAGCAAAGUCAUCAUAGCCUGUGCAAUAUUACACAAUAUUUGCAAGGUUAGACAGAUUGCAGAAACUCUGGAGGAUGGCGAUGAGGAUGGUGGUGAAGAAGAUAUUCACAUUCCACAGGGAAACCUAGCCCAGAGUGGACUGCCUUACAGGGCAAACAAAUUUACAUUUCAGGCAAGCUGUAGCCCCAUGUCAUUUGAGAACUUGUGAUGGUAUUAAGAACUUCCACAGUUUUACUGCACAUCACCUGCAAUUGUUAAAUGCAAGACACAGAACACAAUCUCUAAAUGGUUUCUUUUUUAGCUGUUCAAUUUUAAGGCGGUAGUACUCCUCCUGAAGGGAAAGGACUUUUUCUUGUUGUUCAAACGCAUCAAUUGUGAGUUGCAAUCUUCUCUCCUGCAGGGAUGCUGACGGAGCAGGUGCUGCGGAUGGGAAUGGUGUUUGAUCCGCCGGGCUAUCCUGAGUAGCAGCUGCAGAUGGUUCAGGCGUCAAUCUUGUCAGCAAACUUCAUGGGCCCAGUUCUUGUGAUGGCUCCAUGCUACAUAAAUACAUAGGCCUAGUUUAAUUAUUGUUUUGAUCAAAUUAAUUUAAUACAAUGAGCAUGGAUAACACAUGAAAUGGCUUCUGCAAUGAAUAAACACUGUUGAUAUGAAUAA